CAAAAACUGGGUAAUCAUAGUUCUAAAAGCUACUUUUAAACCCAGGUAAAGGAAUGUUUCACACAUGUAAUUUAGAAGUGGGUUUAGCACCACUUUCUACCCAGGGUUCUGAAACACUGUUUUUACAGUGUUAACCCUGCAUUGCAGUGCCAACCUUGUGAAACGAAGGGCUGUUAGAAUAUUACGGCUAGACACUUGGCGGCAGACAUCCACUCAUGUGCCUCAUAUUCACAUAUUUUGGACAGUCAAACAGCAUGCUGUAUAAACAGUCUUUACAGCGUUUGAAAGGUGUGAAAUAGGGAUGGAAAACAUCUAAACUGAAGUGAAGUACACUGUAAAUGCAAACAUGCUAUUUAAUUAAAAAUAUUAAUUUGACUUUAAUCAGUUUUUAUCAACCUGCUAUUUACACUUGCUUUUAGUAAGUUACUUGUACUUUGAGGUUGAAAAAUCUUACCAGCUCAGUUUACUUGAGUUAGAUUAAUUUAGAAAAAGUAAGUUUAUGAUCUGUGGGCAUGCGCAGAUCAGUCCUCUCUACGCUAGACGGCGAUAUUUGUUCACCACUAUGGCCCCGCCCUUCAAUAGCUACUAUUGGCCAGGCGCUUACGUACCUGAUUUGUACAGGUCAUAUCCCCUGACCAACCUUAACCAAUCCAGGUGAAUUGCCUAACCCCAACCAAUCAAGCUGCUUCGUAGGGCGGGUCUUGGCGUGGCGGGAUUCGUAAUUUUGCAGACAUGUCACAUCGUGCCUGCAACUGACCAAGUGGAGCUGGACCUAAACAUCGCUUCAACGGCGCUUUUGUUUAUCUUCAUCAUAACAGCGAUUCUUGUGCUUGGCACACUCAUUUGGCUCAAGCAGAUGGUGAUCAAUCCACACAUAGGUAGUCCCAGAAGUAAAAGAUACUGUGGGUUCGACUUAUAGCCCAUUAAGAUGAUGACUUCAGCAGUGUUGCACAAGCACUGAUCAGAAAAUACCCCUGCCUCGCUGAGCCUGGACCACACAAAUGGUAUGGCUGGAUAAACAGCCUUAAAUUUAAGAUGGCCAAUUAUCGCACAAAGUUUCGAAAAGCUGGAUGUGAGGAUGUAGCAAUCCUGGUUGAAAAUGGUUGAACGAUGGCCAGCACUCUUCACAGAGAGACAGGUGUUUGCUGAGUUUAAUUGAAUCGCCAGUAAGAAUCUUGAGGGAGACUUUUUUGAGGCUCUGGACCAGUACACGCCACGUUUCAUCAAACUCUUCAAAACAAAGAAGGGAACUGUUGGUCAGAAACUCAGGGAGCUGAUUCAGCACAUAAGCUGUAAGACACCAGACGUGACAGUACUUCACUCUGUUGUCCUCAAAGGCAUUCCCAUUUUACUCUGUGAUGAAUCCAGUGAAUUCUACAAGACCUGCUCUGAUACAACGAGAGACGAGGCCCUAGAAUGCAUCACUGUUGGUGUGCUGACAGUUGUCAGUGAAGAUAGUCCUCAUGAGGGUCAAAGCUCAGUGGACCUCCAGCCCAUCUCCACUGCCAUCAUUCUGGAGGGAGGUAUUGUCAUGGAUCAUAUUAAAAACUUGCCUCAGGCAGUUUGUCUGUUGUUUGGACUUACAUAUGUAUUGCAUUUGGAUUACCCAAAAUGCAUGGCAAAUACACUCAACUUCAUUCAGACUGUGAUGCUUGGACUGGGAAAGAAAAAACUCCCAUCAAAACUGUUAACUCUGAAGAACAGUCUUCUGGGUUAGAACAGUAAAGAGCUGUCAGAUAGCACUUUGUAAGCUUUGCAGCCAUUAAUGUUCUCCUAUUAUCAGAGAAAAUUUGAUGCUUUCAUGCAACUGUUCACGCUAAUUUACGAUCUCAUUUUAAAAAAGAAAAGAAAAAUUCCAUUGAAGUCUGUACCAUGUUAUGCAGGUAUGCUAAUGGUGGAAAUAGAGCUGUUUGCAAAGUGUUGUUAGUUGUUAUUAGAUGAUAAUGUCAGAAAAUAACCUAGCAAGGUUGUCCUGUUUACAUUUGUGUUUUUGGAAAACUUUUAAUAGUUUUAAUGUAGUACAAAUACAAACCCCAAGGACUGAUUUUUUUUUCUUUGUGGUGGUUUAAUCUUUGGACUGUUCAAUUUGAGAAACAAAAGCAUUUGUUGUACUUACAGCUUUGAUCAGAAAUGCACUGAUUUUUCCAUGCACUGAAGUCCUGUAGUUAUCAGGUUUUUACCUGUUUAAUAUUGGGAGACUCUUAUUAGCUCACAGAAAUGUGGUUUUAUUUUUUAUAUUUUUCCUUUAUUUUCUACAGUUAAAUCAAACAACAACUUUGUUGUUUAACUGCUGUUUGUACUUGAAUGUGCAUUGAAUAAAUGUUGUAAUGGAGCUGAA